GUCACUUUUGUCAAAUAAAGCAUGUAUUUACAAUACUCAAACAUUUAAAGUUACUGAAAAAUAUUUAACUCUUUUGGGUUUGGGGUUUAUGCUUCUCUUUAAUGUUUAUAUAAUUUAAGUUUUGACAAUAGAAAAGCUAGGCUGAAAGGGGAAACAAUCCAACUGCACACACAAAAGAGUGCCUAGAUAGAAGACGGACAGCAUAGGAGAUUGAGCAUCUGUGGAUCAGGGCUCCAGAGAAGAAAAGCAGGCUGUGAUGAGUGGGGCUUGGAGCUUGGCUUCCCCAUCAACGAGCCAGGAGAUUGGAUCCAGGAGUGAGGACACUGGAUGAGCACUUCCCACUUAGCAAGAAACCAAAUUAUCAGUUCCUCUUCCCAGCAUGUUUCAAAGGGCUAGAGAAAUUCUGAACAACACAAUUUCCAUGGGAAGAGACAAGAAGCAAUGGAAGGAAGGAAAAGCAGGUGAGAGGGAGGCGUGCAGACAGGAUUUUGACAGGUGCUAUGCCUUAAAGAAAAAAGAAUACAUCAGUACCCAAAUUUGGUGCAGUUUAUUGAUACAGUUGAGGCUUAUUCAAGGAUCUGAUGUAGUCCUGAGUCAGACCAAGCCAGAUCCUUCAUCGAAGCACCUCGGGUUUGUCCUGUCUGUACAGUGUACACAGCACUUCCAGAUACAUCCUCAUUGGACUCUCAUCAUUACCCCCAGAAGCAGAAUGUGGCAGCUAUCAAGAUUCCCUUUUAAAGAUGAAAUUUAGUGCCAUGGGUCUCCAAUCUUUUAUUCCACCUGGGAGAGGGCAAAGAGGCACUUCUAAAUUUUGUGGCAGGGGCAAAAACCAAGGGGAGAAGUUGGCAUUAAGCACGUACAACAUCUUUUCUCUCUAAUGACCUGGAAACAUUCAAAAAAGUAAGUAGAUAUAUUUCAAAGGAAAAAUUCUCCCUUUAGGGUAAUAUUGAUCAUUU
rnacentral:lncRNA from 1 species